rnacentral:sRNA from 2 species
GACCUAGGGAGGCUUCUGACCCUAGGGAGGCUUCUGACCUAGGGAGGCUUCUGACCUAGGGAGGCUUCUGACCUAGGGAGGCUUCUGACCUAGGGAGGCUUCUGACCUAGGGAGGCUUCUGACCUAGGGAGGCUUCUGACCUAGGGAGGCUUCUGACCUAGGGAGGCUUCUGACCUAGGGAGGCUUCUGACCUAGGGAGGCUUCUGACCUAGGGUGUCCGAUACAUUUGAAGUGUAACAUAUGCAAUUUCCACCUCUGGAUUUUAUAUUUAUAAGCAUGGGACACCUCUCAAGUGUAGGUUUCACUGGAUAAACUGUAGGCUUCAAGAUCAGAGCAGCCGCCAUAUGCUUCUCAUUGGUUGGGCGGGGAGAAGUAUAUGUCAAAGACAAGGGGGUGCUAAGUCGUGAGAUUUCCAGGUCGAAGAAGGAAAUCCGUAUGCUGGGAGUGGUGCAUAAAGACCUGCGAUCUGCCAACCAGUCCGACAUAGACAGGCGCCUGAUGAACUGGCUGUAGUGCUACUGCGCAAAAUGCGCGAAAAACCACUUUUCAAUUAUUUAUAGUAACAGGCAAGCGAGCGUAGUGAGCGAGCAAAGUAUGCUUGUUAUUUUGAUGAUAAUUCUGAUAAUUACAUGAAAAGAUUGCAUCAUUUAACUAUAUAAGGAAAGAAAUGUCGAAAUGAAAGGGUGA